rnacentral:rRNA from 1 species
GAUGAACGCUGGCGGCGUGCUUAACACAUGCAAGUCGAACGAAGCAUUUAGGACAGAUUACUUCGGUUUGAAGUUCUUUAUGACUGAGUGGCGGACGGGUGAGUAACGCGUGGGUAACCUGCCUUGUACUGGGGGAUAGCAGCUGGAAACGGCUGGUAAUACCGCAUAAGCGCACAAUGUUGCAUGACAUGGUGUGAAAAACUCCGGUGGUAUAGGAUGGACCCGCGUCUGAUUAGCUAGUUGGUGAGAUAACAGCCCACCAAGGCGACGAUCAGUAGCCGACCUGAGAGGGUGACCGGCCACAUUGGGACUGAGACACGGCCCAGACUCCUACGGGAGGCAGCAGUGGGGAAUAUUGCACAAUGGAGGAAACUCUGAUGCAGCGACGCCGCGUGAGUGAAGAAGUAAUUCGUUAUGUAAAGCUCUAUCAGCAGGGAAGAUAGUGACGGUACCUGACUAAGAAGCUCCGGCUAAAUACGUG